UACGGAGGAUGCGAGCGUUAUCCGGAUUUAUUGGGUUUAAAGGGUGCGUAGGCUGGUAAUUAAGUCAGUGGUGUAAUACUCCGGCUCAACCGGGGGGCUGCCGUUGAUACUGGUUACCUUGAGUUUAGAUGAUGUGGGCGGAAUGUGUCAUGUAGCGGUGAAAUGCAUAGAGAUGACACAGAACACCGAUAGCGAAGGCAGCUCACAAAGCUAUUACUGACGCUGAUGCACGAAAGCGUGGGGAUCAAACAGGA
rnacentral:rRNA from 1 species